GUUUGAAUAAAAUAUACAGUCUGACCUGCCCACUGAGUUGUUAAAGGGCCGCGGUAUCUGAACCGUGCUAAGGUAGCAUAAUAAAUAGUCUUUUAAUUGGAGUCUAGUAUGAAUGGUCGGACAGGGGGCAAGCUGUCUUGGUUAUAAAAUUUGAAUUUUACUUCUAAGUGAAAAGGCUUAGAUUAGAUGGUGGGACGAUAAGACCCUGUGAAGCUUUAACAUGUGGGUCGUAAGUUGAGGAGAUUAGGGUGUUCUGUUCUUAUCGGCCAGGGUGUUUCGUUGGGGCGACGGAAAUAUAAAUAGUAACUGUUUUUAUUGAAAAAUAGAUCUUUUUAGGUGAUUUGAUCCUUUAUUAGGAUUAUAAGAAUAAAGUUACUUCAGGGAUAACAGCGUAAUUUUUCUUGAGAGUUCAUAUCGACAGAAGUAGUUGCGACCUCGAUGUUGAAUUAAGGUGUCCUUAAGGUGUAGCAGUUUUGGGGGUAGGUCUGUUCGACCUUUAAAGC
rnacentral:rRNA from 1 species